CCUUUGACGUUAGCGGCGGACGGGUGAGUAACACGUGGGUAACCUACCUAUAAGACUGGGAUAACUUCGGGAAACCGGAGCUAAUACCGGAUAAUAUUUCGAACCGCAUGGUUCGAUAGUGAAAGAUGGUUUUACUAUCACUUAUAGAUGGACCUGCGCCGUAUUAGCUAGUUGGUAAGGUAACGGCUUACCAAGGCGACGAUACGUAGCCGACCUGAGAGGGUGAUCGGCCACACUGGAACUGAGACACGGUCCAGACUCCUACGGGAGGCAGCAGGC
rnacentral:rRNA from 1 species